GACGAACCGUGCGAACGUUGUUCGGAAUCACUGGGCUUAAAGGGCGCGUAGGCGGCCCGCCGCGUCCGGGGUGAAAUCCUCCCGCUCAACGGGAGAACGGCCUCGGAUACGGGCGGGCUGGAGGCGGGUAGGGGCAGGCGGAACUGUGGGUGGAGCGGUGAAAUGCGUUGAGAUCCACAGGAACUCCGGUGGCGAAGGCGGCCUGCUGGACCCGAUCUGACGCUGAGGCGCGAAGGCCAGGGGAGCAAACGGG
rnacentral:rRNA from 1 species